GCCUCCAUGAGGUUGAGAGAGGGAUGUCCAUGCAGUAUGUUAUUUAGGUCUCAAAAAAUGCCUGAGUUACGGAUAGGGAAGCUGUGGCUCAGCCAGUAGCUGGGACGGGAGAGCCCAGAGACCUCUGCUGCCGUAGGGUCACAGUGCCCAGACCACCCGCCCCUGUGGAUCUCCAAGGUCCCUCCUCUCUCCGUCUUGGGGCCUUUUAACAAGAUGCUCCCCUGACUUCUGCUUUUCCUCCCUGGAAUUCCAGAAAGAAGCUCCUCUGUGUCAAGAUGGCAGUGGGCAAUGCCACUUUGCAUUUUGAGUGUGUUUCCCAAGUGAUGCUUCAUGGAAUGUUGUUUUGGGAGAGAAAAAAAGAUUCUGGACCCAAUAAGCUGGGGAAACACUGGAUCUGACAAAGUCAGACAGGCUUCUCUCUUGCGGGACUUCUCAGAGCCUUCAAGUGUCUACUUUGCUCUACUAAGAAGGAGCCCCGAUGUGCAGUGUUUCCCACACUUAUUUGAUACUGGUGCCAUUUUUCCUCCCGAAAUCUUUCCUAGGAAAAGUGGGACAUACUUUGGGCCAUGCAGGUUUUGAGGACACCUCAGGAAUUCUUGGACUUGAAAUGUCCAGUCACCCAGCAGAGAUGGUGACUGUGGAUAAAGAUGCUUCUUUUAUCAUGUCGAGUGGGAAAUUAUCCUUUCGACAUCGGAGGGAGUUGGCCAAUGGAGGUUCUCCGGUAUCAAGCAAGUGUGGAGAUCCGGCCACAGGAUUUGCCUUCUCUUCCUUGACACUGAAUGGAGAAGAGCUGGCAGGUGGACAGAACAAGGAGGUAAGAACAGACCUUGCUCGUCUCUCUAAUUUAUUUUGAAAAGAUGAGUCAUGAUUCGGUCAUCUGUGAACAAGAUUGGGCAAGAUCCAGGCAGUUGGGAAGUUGGACUUCACUCAUCAAGUUGGUGUGAAGUUCUGGAAAGGGCGAUCCCAGCUUCGGGAGAGAUCUGAUUCCAAGACCGGAUUUUGGGGUCCCAGAUUCCUGACACUAAACGCCACUGACCUGCUGGACCCCCUUCCUCCCAUCCACUCUGGCUCCUCCUUGCAUCUGCCUGGGCCCCAGGCCCGCUGGAUGGGCUUUCUGCAGGUGAUGUUGUCCGAGAGUCUAUGCCUCCUCAGAGGGAGUCCAGAUGUUCAGCCCACAACUCUUCCGGUCUGCAGCUUUCUUGGACGCCAGCCAGCCAAGAAGGAACCAUUCAAUUCGAGCCUGGGGAUAAGCCCAGACCUCUUGAAACUCAUUCACUCACUUGUUCAUUCAUUCAAUUACUUAUUAUUUCUAUCAGCGUUUGUGGACUCAAGCAAGAUCACACUCUAAGUCAGUGGUGCUCAAACUUGAAUGGGCAGCAUAGGGCCCUGCGGGGCUUAUUAAAACGCAGACCAUCGAUUUAGUAGGUCUGUGGCGGGGCCGAUCAUUUGCAUUUCUAACAAGUUUCCAGGUGAUGUUGCUGCUACGAGUCUGGGGACCACAAAGAGGGGAGAGGUCAAAGCUAUUAUCAGUGGGCUUCCCUGAAAUUUGACUCCGGUGCCCAGCGUGGAUGUCUGUGGUUUUUAAAAGGUGAAAAUGGCCCAUAACCCUGCUUCUGUGUCUCCACCAAAACCUGGCAAGAUGCGUAGCUUGGGGGAAGGUGGGCUCCAGGAUCCUGGUCCUAGACCAGAGUUGGGCUGGACUGGGGAGCCCCUUCCCCUCUCUGAGGUCCCCCCGACCCCUCUCCCCUGUUCCAGCUCACCUGCAGACCCCAGCAUCCCACGUUCUCCCGCUGUCCCUAGCAGCUCCUGUCCCCGACCCUCCUGCCCCAUCUCCUUCCUCCCAGCUCCUCUCCACGGCUAAGGCCCUGAUCUUCUGGGCCCUCCCCAUGAUGAGGCCCGUUGCCCAGUCCCCCUGGGGGC